AUUGAACGCUGGCGGCAGGCCUAACACAUGCAAGUCGAACGAGUCGCGCAGGGGUGAGUAAUGUGGGGGAAAUUGCUCUAGGGAGGGGGAUAACUAGGGGAAACGGUAGCUAAUACCGCAAAACAUCAGAUGUGCCCAGGUGGGAUUAGCUUGUUGGUGGGGUAACGGCUCACCAAGGCGACGAUCCCUAGCUGGUAUGAGAGGAUGACCGGCCACACUGGAACUGGGACACGGUCCAGACUCCUACGGGAGGCAGCAGUGGGGAAUAUUGCACAAUGGGCGGAAGCCUGAUGCAGCCAUGCCGCGUGUGUGAAGAAGGCCUUCGGGUUGUAAAGCACUUUCAGCGGGGAGGCGUUACCCGCAGAAGAAGCACCGGCUAACUCCGUGCCAGCAGCCGCGGUAAUAC
rnacentral:rRNA from 1 species